rnacentral:sRNA from 1 species
UGUCUUUUCAGCCCCUCCAACCUGUUUGAUCAUUUUCCUCUGUGGCUAUGAUUGCUUUAAGUAGUGUUACUUGUAGAUUAUUUGGAAAAUACAAGAGAGUGUAAAGAAGACCAUGUAUGGUGGGCUUCUAGGGUCAGGUCCAGGGGGCCCGGCAGGGGUCAGGCUGGAGCCCCAGGUGCAUGCAGUUUUCUCUCCCGCAGCCCACAGAGCAGUUCAACGGGCAGGGCGCCAGCUUCAACGGGGGCAGCAUCAGCUACAGCCAACCUGGCCUGAGUGGGGUAGGGGGCCUGGCCGGGAGGAUGGGCCGGGAGGCUCACCGGGUGGGCAUAUGGAGAGAGGGCGACCGGGCAGGCACCCGUGGGGCUGCCUCCUGUCCACCUCUAUUAUCAUGGUUCCCAGUGGGUGCGCCGUGAACAGACUCCACUCCCAUCCACCCUGGCAAUCUGCCUUGACUGUUUGUGCUCAACCCUACAGCCUACCCGUUCCAUCCCGGGCUAUCCCAGUUCCCCACUGCCAGGGAACCCCACGCCACCCAUGACCCCAAGCAGCAGCGUCCCUUACAUGUCACCAAGCCAAGAGGUCAAGUCUCCCUUCUUGCCUGAUCUCAAGCCCAACCUCAACUCCUUGCACUCAUCGCCCUCUGGAAGCGGGCCUUGUGACGAGUUGCGGCUGACCUUCCCUGUGCGCGAUGGGGUGGUCCUGGAGCCCUUCCGCCUGCAGCACAACCUGGCUGUAAGCAACCACGUCUUCCAGCUGCGAGACUCAGUCUACAAGACGCUGAUAAUGAGGCCUGACCUGGAGCUGCAAUUCAAGUGCUACCACCACGAGGACCGGCAGAUGAACACCAACUGGCCAGCCUCGGUGCAGGUCAGCGUCAAUGCCACGCCGCUCACCAUCGAGCGUGGCGACAACAAGACCUCGCACAAGCCACUCUACCUGAAGCAUGUGUGCCAGCCAGGCCGCAACACCAUCCAGAUCACCGUCACCGCCUGCUGCUGCUCCCACCUCUUCGUGCUGCAGCUAGUGCACCGCCCGUCCGUCCGCUCGGUGCUGCAGGGCCUCCUCAAAAAGCGCCUCCUGCCUGCUGAGCACUGCAUCACCAAGAUAAAGCGAAACUUCAGCAGCGGCACCAUCCCUGGCACCCCUGGGCCCAACGGAGAGGACGGGGUGGAGCAGACAGCUAUCAAGGUGUCCCUGAAGUGCCCCAUCACCUUCCGCAGGAUCCAGCUCCCCGCCCGAGGUCAUGACUGUCGCCACAUACAGUGCUUUGACCUGGAGUCAUACCUGCAGCUCAACUGUGAGCGGGGGACUUGGAGGUGUCCUGUGUGCAACAAGACAGCUUUGCUGGAGGGCCUGGAGGUGGACCAGUACAUGCUGGGCAUCCUGAUUUACAUUCAGAACUCUGACUAUGAGGAGAUCACCAUCGACCCCACGUGCAGCUGGAAGCCAGUGCCCGUGAAGCCUGACAUGCACAUCAAGGAGGAGCCGGACGGGCCGGCACUGAAGCGCUGCCGCACCGUGAGCCCCGCCCACGUGCUCAUGCCCAGCGUGAUGGAGAUGAUCGCCGCCCUGGGCCCCGGCGCUGCCCCCUUUGCCCCCCUGCAGCCCCCCUCAGUCCCUGCCCCCAGCGACUACCCUGGCCAGGGUUCCAGCUUCCUGGGGCCUGGAACUUUCCCUGAGUCCUUCCCACCCACCACGCCCAGCACCCCAACCCUUGCUGAGUUCACCCCGGGGCCACCCCCCAUCUCCUACCAGUCUGACAUUCCCAGCAGCCUCCUGACUUCAGAGAAGUCUACCGCCUGCCUCCCAGGCCAGAUGGCACCAGCAGGUCACCUGGACCCGACUCACAAUCCUGGGACACCAGGACUACACACCUCCAACCUUGGGGCCCCUCCAGGUCCCCAGCUGCACCAUUCAAACCCUCCCCCAGCGUCCCGGCAGUCCUUGGGCCAAGCGAGCUUAGGACCUACGGGCGAACUGGCCUUCAGUCCUGCCACAGGCGUGAUGGGGCCCCCCAGCAUGCCUGGAGCCGGGGAGGCCCCAGAACCAGCUCUGGAUCUGCUCCCAGAACUGACCAACCCUGAUGAGCUACUGUCCUACUUGGGCCCACCCGACCUCCCUACGAACAACAAUGACGACCUGCUCUCUCUGUUUGAGAACAACUGAUCCUGUGUUUACCCCAAGCCCGGCGGGGACACGCUCACAGAUGUCACCACAGCCCUGCCCUUCAUGCCCAGCCCCAUGGGACACCCGGUGGUCUUUCCCAAACCUCCCCCAAAACACACCUGGAGCCAGAGCCUUCUGCCGCCAGCCCUGCCCCUGAAUUGGAAGCAGCCCUGUGCUUGAUUGGAGGGGCUCCCAGGCCGGCAGCCCUCACCACCUCCCUCUACCAAGCCUGCUGCUGCAGAACGGUUUUUGCUGAGGUGCCCCUGCCCAGCCCUGUCCAGCUUUGUCAACAUACACAUCUCACGCCCCUGGCCUCACAGCCUCACACCUUGUCCUUCCACCCCUGCCUGCCCCCACCCAGCCUGCUUCUCGUCCAGCAUUGAUCCUUCUGUUUCAACAACUCCUCCACUGGGCAGAGCUGGGCAUCUGGCAGGGCUGGCUCUGUCCCCUGGGCCUUUGGCUCUAGUGGCCCCUGUGCCCAGCAGUCCAGCUCUUGGAACCUCGCUGAAUGGCAGCCUCUUGGGGGCCUGGAGCUCUGGCAGCCCAGCCGUGUGUGGUGUCAGGUUCCUCUCCCCACCCCAGCUUCAAGCAGAGGCCUCGGGGUGGGGGAGCUACAAAGCACAACAAUGUACAUAGUGUAGAAACACUAACAGCUGAGAGAGGGGAGCCAGCUGUCCAGCCAGCAUGUUCCUGUUGUACAGCCGGGUCUCCCUGUGCGCUCUGCUCCUUCCCAUGUGCAGACAGAUCAGGGAGGAACCUCCAGUGGGUGGGGGACAGUGAGCUUCGGCCCGGCCGAGGUAGGUGGGUGGGCUCUCAGAUUCAGCUCUGUGUAAAGAUUCUCUAGCGGGCUGCGCUCCCAAGUUCCCCUUCUCUGUGAAAGUGAAGAAUUAGUACAGCUGUGUUUUUUAAAGCCACCUCUCCGUCUCCACCCCAUGGGCCCACACCCAGGUGGGGGAGGAGGAAGCCACUGCAUCUGUUGGCUCAGGGCCCCAGCCUGUGCGAGCAGGGCGCCCGGGCUGUUGUGUCUCCUGUCUGUGCCGAUCUCUAUUAAAGGACUCCCUCUUGGUGGGCCUG